AAACCACAAGGGUGAAAAUGUGACUUACCCUAAACUAUGAGUGAUAGAGUAACAAAACAUGCUAGACCACAUUGUAUGCAAACAAACCUCUUCCGUCGUUUCACCACCAUCUCCAAGCCCUAAACCUUCCCCAAUCUCCAAUUCGUCAACUCCAAAUCCAAUUUCUACUGCUUAGGGUUUUUUGUCAGCCGAGAGUUUCAAGGAUCUAGGAAAUGGCAAGUUCGAUGACUACUUCUGUCGAUAUCCGAGUCAUCGACGAUGUCAUCAACAAAGUUCGAGAAGAAUUCGUCCUGGCGAGGGAAUUCCUUCACGUCGAUGCCGUCGCCACUUCUUACUUGCGGUGAAAGCACAAAAACGACAACAUAGCUGCCAGUGGUAAGGUUCGUCCUCCCACUGAUUGGCGCCGCCUCCUCCUUCCCUAUAUCCUUUGGUAUCUCUCUCUCUCUCUCUCUCUCUCUCUCUCUCUCUCAAUCGAUCAGCCCUGGUGAUUUCAUCUACUGGAUUAAAUUUUGAAAGAAGGUUAGAUGGACAAUUGAAUCUAUGUUAUUAUGAGCAGCAUCAAUUGACCUAAUUUUAUUUAUUUUGUUCUUGUUAUUUUCUUAAUUUUGACAAUUGAAUCCAUGUUCUUAUGACCAACAAACUUGACGUUCAUAGGGAACGGUGGCUUUCUCAAGGUGUUUUAUUCUUGCUUUGAUUAUUUAGAUUGUUGAUUGUUGAUCAUUAUUUUACACUUAAUCAGUAAUUACCUUUUGGUUUAGAGUUCCAAAUCCAUUUGAAGUUGAUAAUUUAACCAUUCACAACUCUUCUGUUGUACUAAAAUUUCUACACUAGGUGUCUCUUAUGCUGAAGACUGUGAAGCAUAGAUCACAACUCUUGAAAGUGUCUUGGAUUCUCUGGUUUACACGGUAAUGAACAGGAUAAAGCUGGAGAAUGUCACCCCAUCUAAGGUUUCUCAUUCCGAGCUAAAAGCUAAACUGGAAUCCUCAAGAUUCAAGUUUGAAGCGCAACUGCUUGAGUUGUAAGUGUCACUGCAAAGUAAUUACAAAUAUACGGAUGAAAAGCCUGAGAUUCUUAGAAAGAGAUUGUUUAAUGAUUACACUAAGAUCAUUUAUUUUGUUGAUGAGUUAGACCUUUUGGGUGCUUAUGAGGCUGUUAAAAUUUUUAUAGAGCAUUCCCCAAAAGCCAUUGAAGAAUGUGAUUGCUUUUAGCAAAUCUACUCAAAGUAUGUUUAUUUUCUUGAGGAAGCGUUGAUUAUCACCGGGGAAUCUUUGCCAAAUGGUAUAUGCUAUUUUUGAACCUUUUAUUCAUUGACUAUCAUUGUUGGAAAAAUUCAAUUUUUUUUACAAAUAUAUGUCUGACAAUAUUGCAUUCAUCCUUGAAAGGUAGAAAAAAUAUUUUUUUUAUCUUGCAAAAACAGAUGGUUGCUUAAAGUAGAAAAAAAUGUUGAAAGUGGUUAACUUAAGGUUUUCAUUCAGCACACCUGAUAUAACAACAAUCCUAGAUAGAUGGGUAAAAUAGUCAUUUACUGUCUUUUAGAUUGUUCAUUUAGCACACAAAAAGAAACAACAAUUUUCAUCUAACAAAUCAAUUGCCUUGUGUUUGUAGAUUUUUGUCUUUUUAGCAGCAGAGUAUGAAACCCCAUAGAAUUCUCUAAAUCAGGUAAAUUUGUUUUUUCUCCAACGAUAAUAUCUUCAUUAAGUUAUAAUUAUAUUAAAAAAUCUUUACGAUUAUCACUUUAAGGGUUUUAAAUGGUUUUCUAAAAUCGAACUACAUAAUAACUAAAGGACAAAAACGUAAUUUACAAUUGCAAACUCCUUGUUUCUUUUUGUUUUUCCCACCAAUAUAUGGAUAAAUGAGGGCAAAUUUGUAAAUUGUUAUGAGUUAUGUCUUGUCUCCGUUACAAAUAGAAUGAAAAUAUACUUUAUUUGUAACAUUUUGUAAUUACAAGAGAUUUCAUCUUGUUGCGUUUGUAAAUUUAUUGAAUCUUUGAAAAAGAACCAAGGUCUUGUUUGCUUUUGACUUAAGUGGGACAUGAAUUGGGUGGUGUUUGUUUUUUUGAGAAAAAUUGUAUUCAUCACUUAUGUUUUUCUUGUUUGCGUGCGGGCAAAAAUGUGAAAAAAAUUGUUUGUUUUCUAAAUUUUUUACGGAAAAUGAAUGUUUUCUUAAAUUACAAAGAAGUUGGAAAUUUUGGAAAAGCAAUAAUUAUUGUUUUCCAUAUUUUCUAAUUCCAUAUUUACUAAUAACAUAAUUUAAAAUGUGAAUAUAUGACAAAAUGGUCGUAAAGACACUUGAGAAUGUUUAUUUUUAUUUUGAUGUCUUUUAAUUUUAAAAUAUUUUUUUUGUAAAAAUUCGAUAUCUAUUUGUAAGAAAUAAAGACAUACUUUCGAUGGUAUGUUAUUUAUAGCAUUCUACUUCUAUCAUUAGCUAUGAAAAUUCUAUCCAAUUAUAUCUAUGAAAAAUGUAUAACAACUCAGUUAUAGUGUAUUGUCUUUCUCGUAGUUUCUUAAGCAGUGACCACUUUUUUUUGGUCUCUAACAAUAUUUAUUUAGUGACCACUUUUUGUGGUCACUAAUUAUAUAAAUUAGUGACGACCUUCACUGAUUAGUGACAAGAUUUAGUGACGAAACCGGUUGUCACAGAUUUUGUGACCAUUAUAUUUUAGUCACUAUUCAGUGACCAUAUAUAUAUUUGGUCACUAAAUCACUUUUGUGACGGACCUAUAGUGACGAAAAGUGACAACUAGAUAUUUGGUCACUAAAUCACUUAGUGACGACUCUUUCUCUUGUUAGUGACCAUUUCACUAUAGUCACUAAUUGGCAUUUUUUUUGUAGUGAUUCUUUUAGCUCAAGUUGAUUGUGAUGAUUAGUUGGUUUAUUUAGGAGGAGAUGAUGUUUGGAAUCAUCCACAAUCAACAAUACUUCAUUGUGGGUUGAACUCUUUUGGAGUUUCGGGUUAUUGCUCUUUUUAGUGCCAAGUUUUAGAGGCUUUUGGCUUUGGUUCAGAUCAUGCGAUCCUAUCAUUUAUUCGUGGACAAAAAUAAUUUUUAAAGAUUGUUUGGCUUGUUCAACCAUUAUAAUAUUAUAAGGUAUUUUCAAGAAUUUAAUGGCGUAGGUAUUCUCAAGACUCUAAUACCUAGGGGUAUUUUUCAAACACUAUGAUACGAAGAUGUAUUUUGCUUAAAAGACAUUUAUGUCGUAUGACAUUCGGUGUGAAGUUUUUACUUCUUCAAUAUUUCAUCUCUAAUUUGGAUAAA